GACGAACGCUGGCGGCGUGCUUAACACAUGCAAGUCGAACGGUGAAGGAAGAGCUUGCUCUUCCGGACCAGUGGCGAACGGGUGAGUAACACGUGGGCAACCUGCCCCUGACUCUGGGAUAACUCCUCGAAAGAGGUGCUAAUACCGGAUACGACCACUUCGGACAUCCGAUGGUGGUGGAAAGUUUUUCGGUCAGGGAUGGGCCCGCGGCCUAUCAGCUAGUUGGUGGGGUAAUGGCCUACCAAGGCGACGACGGGUAGCCGGCCUGAGAGGGCGACCGGCCACACUGGGACUGAGACACGGCCCAGACUCCUACGGGAGGCAGCAGUGGGGAAUAUUGCGCAAUAGGCGAAAGCCUGACGCAGCGACGCCGCGUGAGGGAUGAAGGCCUUCGGGUUGUAAACCUCUUUCUAGCAGGACGAAGCGAAAGUGACGGUACCUGCAGAAGAAGCACCGGCUAACUACGUGCCAGCAGCCGCGGUAAU
rnacentral:rRNA from 1 species